AUAAUUUCAAACAGCGGAUACAAGUUAUUGAAAGAAUAUUUGAAAAAAAUAUGAAAGUAACAAUAUAGAAGAAGAGAAGAAAAAUAAGAAGAGAAAGCUGAACCGGACGGCCCUGGCGUUUUAGUUGUGGAUGAAGAUCCUGUUUGGAAAAAACCAGUAAAGCUUGAAGAAGAGGAAGAACAGCUGGUAAAAAAUAAAAAAUAUCAAUACUAUACUUUAGUGUAUUUGAGGAUUUGGAUCUUGCUUUGAUAAUGUGUUUGUGUGUUAUUCUCGUGUGUUUCUAGAUGAAGAGGAGCCUCAAGUUCACGAAGAAGACAUAGAAGUUAAACGAACGAGGAUGCUGGAGCUAAUUAGAGCUCAACGCGCUUACAAUGCAAUAGCAGAGGAUGGAAGUCGUUGGGUUACAUUUUCUCCUAAACGUGCGAUUUCUGCUGAUCCUUGUAUCCUCCUCCUAAAAGGAAAGUUCAGAUCGGCAUGCCUUCACCUGAGCAUGAAGGGAAUUCUUUGCAAUAUGGUGGAGAUGAUACAGAUUUGUCACCUCCAUGUCAACGACAGAGACAGUACCAUAUCCCAUCUCCUGCACCUGAUACAAAUUUGAAUUCAGAUUUGUCAUCACCUCAUAAACGAAGGUAUCGAAAUGAUACACCAUCUCCAGAACCGCCGAUGAAGCCUUCAGGAGAAGUUAGUGAUUUGUGAUCACAACGAAGGCAGCGAAAACUCCAUCAUUCUCCAUCACCCGAACCUGAUACGAAAUCCAAACACUCCAGUGGUCUGAAUCUGCCUUUGAGAGAAAAAACUGAUUUGUCUACUCCAAGACAACAGAGGCGACGGCACUAUUCUCCUUCACCGAAACCCGAGUUAGAUCUUUCACCCCCAAGGAGAAGCAAGAAGGAUGUUGAGGGAUCAGGAUCACCUGAUAAUUCUCAAUCAUCACGGCAGCGUUCAACUCAGAGUGGUAAUUCGCGUGCAUCUAUGGCUCAAGACAUUUCUACACCUAGCAAAAACUGGAAAGAAUCAUCUGGUUCAGCUUCCUCAAUGGAACAACCAAAAACUGGUCUGAUUACUGGUCGUGAUAAGCGGGAAGAAAUUUUUAAAACUAAGAAGGACGCAUCAUUGUUGGAUGAUCUGGAGCUUGACAAAAUGCUGAAGGAUAGAGUACGAUGGGAUGAUCCAUUGUAACAUUUGGUCAAGUCGGAUAUUCUUGACAUGUUGCAGAAAAAGCGCUCUGAACCUGUUCUGGCAGACCUAGGGGAUAGUGAGAAGAUGACGGAAUCGGGAUUUAUAAUUCCCCAGGACAUACCAAGUCCCAGCUGGAUAGAACGAGGAUUUGAUGCUGCACCAGAUCGAUAUGGUAUAAAACCAGGAAGACUUUGGGAUGGGGUUGAUCGAAGUAAUGCAAAUGAUGCAAGGAGAACUACCGUCGUUUUGCAGUAUCCAUGUGAAGGUCCAUAUUCUCUCAUCUGAAGAGCUUGAGGGUACUUUCUAUCUUUGUCCACACUAGGAAAACUAAAGCAUGUUGGACUAGUAAAAAGUGCAACAGCUUUAGUUCAACGUGGUCAGGAACUGAGUUCUUGUUGAAUCAGGUCCUGAGACCUCAAGCAUUGCCCAGAGAUCAGUGAUCAGUUCAGUGAUCAAUUGUGGCUUAUCCUUGCGAACUCUAAUAUGCCAUCAGGGGAAACUUUAUUUGGCAAAUGCGGUUGCACUAUUUCUAGGGAAAGGCACGGAGUCUUGUCUCCAUAUUCGGAGUUUACAGUAAAUUUUAGGUUGAUUGAAGCUGCUUGUUUCUAAUUGCCUCUUCUUUGUUGUUUUUGAUAUAUUUUCAAUCGAAAAAUAUUUUGAAAAAUAACCGCUAAUAUAAUAUCAAAUAAUAUCAAUGCUACCUAUAUAGGCCUUCUAAACAGGGGAAAGAGAACAAGAAAGGACAUGCAAAAACUCAUGUUUGGCGUUAUUUUUUUAUUAUUUCCCUUGAGAAAGCUUAUUUAUAAAGAUUAAGACCUGCCCGCGCUACUGGAAUUGCUAAAUUUUGAUCGUAAAUUUAGCAGAUCACCAAUGGCAUGGUCCUCAAGGGGGUUAAUAUUUUAGGUUUUCCAAUGUAUUAUUCAUCCACUCAUGAAGAUGAGAUGUGUAAUUACCAUGGCCUUCGUUGCUGUUGUUAAUACCGAGUGAGUAGAGCAGUUAAAGUUAGAUUUGGCUCCGGCAGUCCAAUUCGUCACAAGUUAUGCACAGACUUUUGGGUAGAAUGUAAAACAAUCAUGAGACAGUCUCAGAUUUUCUCUCCCAGGUUUUAAACACUAGGCAUAAAUUUAUCUCAUGCUUCUGUCAGUUCAUAUAAGGAAACUCUGGAAAAAAGAGAGGUUAUUUUUACCUUUUCAAACUUGAAGCAGAAAUAUUAUGGAACACAAAAGUUCCUGCAAAACCAGCAAUAGAUUGAGCUACUCAAGCAAAUCUUAAUUCCUUUCUGCAAGAACGAUGUAAUAUUAGUGAUAGCAAUGGAGGCUGUAAGGUAGUUCACUUCUCUCACUAACAGAAUCUCCAGUUUGAAAUUUUGUUUGUUUUGAACUCAACUGAACAGAUGUUUGGUUUUAGAUAAGCUGAACUUACUCACUCUUACUAACAGAUAGAGAUGGGUUGCUUGAGAGUAAUCUCUCCACUUAGGUUAUCCCUCUUGCAAAUUUCUAGAUUUCGGAGCUUUCUGAAGGUGGUGUAUUUACAGGAUUUUAAGUGCAUGCUACAUAACUUUGAAUCUUCAAGUAAAAGAGCAAGGAUUCCGGUAUGAUUGCAUCUUCUGAGAAUUUUAGUCAAAGAUGCUGCUUGAUGCUGUUAAUCUCUGAUCAUGGAAGGAUGAUGAGUCAAUUAGCACAAUCAGGUUAGGUUGCUGACAUCAACUGAUUUUCUCUUUAUAUUUUACACAGUACCUAUGUAGUAAUUGUUAGAUGGAACAAGGAAGUGUUGGACUUCACUUUUGUAAAUGUCUUGAGGAAUUUUUCCCCUCUUGCACCCUUCUAUUACCAACGGUGAUCAAUGGUGUAGAAGUUGGAAAUCUUAUUCGCCAGUAACUCUGCUAUGCGCCAAAGUAUAUUGAUUUGUAAGCAUCUAAAGGGAAAAGUGGAGUCUUUUCCCUUAUUUAAAUUAAAUUUGUGAUGUUGACUAGUAGCAGACGUUCUGGCUAAAGAUAAGGAGGAAAGUAAAGAAAAAAAAUUCAAAUUUUAUUAGGAUACCCGGAAAUUUUAUAGUCAACAUUAAACUUUCAUGAAUUUCUCUUAUUAGACCCUAUACCCGUGUACAAAGGGAAAAAGACAAAAUUAUAAAUAAAAUGAAGAGCUAGGGGCUUAUUUGGAUAAAUUUAUCUGCUUCCCAUGAUUUUAUGAGUUCACUUGUACUCCUGUAUCAUAUGUUUGCCCGGCUUUCCAGUCAUUAGGUAUGUUGUUGACUGGAACUACCCAUGUCUCAUCUCCAUCCUCUUCACUGAAUAACAUUCUAAGUGACAAGGGUCCACUGGGGGGUGAAGUAGUUGUCCAUACAGCUCCAUAGCUUCUGUCCAAGACCUUGCACGCAAAAUUUUGUGUCUACACAUAAAACUUUUUGUUAGUAACAGUUUCACCGACUCAAAUAACAUGUAAAAACUGGACGAUUUAAUUUUGCUUGCUUUUAUACAAUGAGCUAGAGACUAGUUGCUACUCUUACUAUCUUUACUUUCAGUUUCUUCUUUCUGUGUUAUAUCAGCUAAUAUUCCCUUUGCCGUCAUAUUUUACUAUUUAAAAUUGCCUUUUAAUAUCAUCGGUGACACAUAGUUUUCUUGAAGCUGAAUACAAAAUCAAGUGAUUGGAUAGUAAAUUAUUUCGAAGAUUAAAAGGUGCAUUUAAUAUUACAUACAGUGCAUAUUACCUCACACAGGUGAACAGCAGUGAUAUCCCUCCUUCCUUGUUGAUACCAAACGACAAAACCCAUGUAAGAAGGGUGGUCGCUGUUCUCAUCGAUUUUGAUGGUUAUGUUUUUGUUUGGAUAGCUGCAUGAAACACUACAUGGAGAAAGAGUUGAGUUAGUCCACAUCACAUGACAAACUUCAUGAAAUACAGAGCAGAAGUUUUCAUUAGGAAAACGAUGGAAUAGCCAUGGGAGCAUUUUUUGUAAUAACGAUGCUUAAUAACCCUACUAUUUUAAGACUUCAUCUUUGGGGAGGUUAUUUGAAGUGUUGGCCGUGCUGAUGGUUAAAACCAAUACACUUCUUUUUCCUCACCCUAUUAAAAGCGUAGUCUUUGACUCUUUGAUUGAGUCAUAAGUUUCUUUUACCUGUCUCUUGUGAAUCAAAAAAUAAGAGGUCUUCUGCAUAAAGUCAUCAUACACAUCUUACCGUUUAUAUUCAACAUCAACUACUCCAAGGGCUAUUAAAGAUGCAGCCGCAUCUGUUGUUUGAGCCAUCCGACCAAAGGCUCUUCUGCUGAGAAUGAAGUCAGUGUUAUGACUUGAUCCAUGGUCGGUUACAACAAUGGUGACUCCUUUGUCAGUGCAAUAGUGACUGUCGGUGCACCUUACCUGGUUCAGUAAAUCACUGUGUACCUGGUAGCAAGCACCACAGCCGACACCAUCACGGUAGAGGUCAGAUACAGCUGAUACAUCCCCGCCGUUCAGGGUUGCACCGAAUGAACCAUAUCCGCAUCUGCCUGCUGCAAUUCAUAAGAAGAGGCUCGUAAGAAUGCAUGCUCAAUUGGUACCUCUGCUAGAGUCUGCAUAAAAAGCAAAGUUCCUGAAAGGAACAAAAGGAACUGCAGAGUAGGAACCAUUAUCGGUAUACAAAGAGCAAAGACAAUAAAAGCAAAGAAGAUGAGGGGGUAAUGCAUGAAAUGAACAAGGUUUGUGGUAUUUAUAGCAAAACAAGCCGCCCAUAUUCUUUAGUUUGGUAGGCAUUGCCAAGUUUGACACUGAGAUAAAACAAUAUUUUCUUUCAGUGGAAUUUCUGUUAUGGUUGUUUUCAA